CAGUAAUGGCGAAUGAAGAGGGAACAGCUCAAUUUUGAAAUCACCGUUGCUUGCAACGGCGAAUUGUAGUUUCGAGAAGUACUUUCCAGGCGAACGGAUCUUGCCUAAGUUGCUUGGAACAGCACGUCACAGAGGGUGACAACCCCGUACGUGGCAAGGUCCGUCGCUGGUGAGGUGCUUUCAUAGAGUCGGGUUGUUUGGGAAUGCAGCCCAAAAUGGGUGGUAAACUCCAUCUAAAGCUAAAUACAGGCACGAGACCGAUAGCGAACAAGUACCGUGAGGGAAAGAUGAAAAGGACUUUGAAAAGAGAGUUAAAAAGUACGUGAAACCGUUGAAAGGGAAGCGAAUGGAGUUAGCAAUUCGCCCUGCCAGAUUCAGUCUUACGCGUUCCGCGACGGGCGCGCACUCGAUCUACGUAGACGAGUCGUGUUCGGACGCGGCACGGGAGAGGCGCAUUUAUGGCAGGCGAGCGUCAACGUCGGUCUUCGUCGGGCUAAAAGGCCGUGAGGGAGGUGAACGGCCUUCGGGCCGUUGUUAUAACCUCGCGAGCGUAUGGCUCGACGAAGACCGUGGAGUCGCGACGCGUGCUUCCCUCCGGGGGGGCUGGUGUCCUGUUCUGUUGGUCCGGUUGUCGACCGUGGCGGACGGCACGCCUGUGCGCUCGAACUGCUGCCGGUCAACAGGGCGGUGAUCACACACUACGCGUCGAGGACGUUGACGACCAUACGGCUCUAUCCGACCCGUCUUGAAACACGGACC
rnacentral:rRNA from 1 species